rnacentral:rRNA from 1 species
UGGGGAAUUUUGGACAAUGGGCGAAAGCCUGAUCCAGCAAUGCCGCGUGUGUGAAGAAGGCCUUCGGGUUGUAAAGCACUUUUGUCCGGAAAGAAAUCCUUGGCUCUAAUACAGUCGGGGGAUGACGGUACCGGAAGAAUAAGCACCGGCUAACUACGUGCCAGCAGCCGCGGUAAUACGUAGGGUGCAAGCGUUAAUCGGAAUUACUGGGCGUAAAGCGUGCGCAGGCGGUUUGCUAAGACCGAUGUGAAAUCCCCGGGCUCAACCUGGGAACUGCAUUGGUGACUGGCAGGCUAGAGUAUGGCAGAGGGGGGUAGAAUUCCACGUGUAGCAGUGAAAUGCGUAGAGAUGUGGAGGAAUACCGAUGGCGAAGGCAGCCCCCUGGGCCAAUACUGACGCUCAUGCACGAAAGCGUGGGGAGCAAACAGGAUUAGAUACCCUGGUAGUCCACGCCCUAAAACGAUGUCAACUAGUUGUUGGGGAUUCAUUUCCUUAGUAACGUAGCUAACGCGUGAAGUUGACCGCCUGGGGAGUACGUCGCAAGAUUAAAACUCAAAGGAAUUGACGGGGUCAUAGCUGUUUCCU